GGCAGUAUGGCGCACGCAGUGGUAGCGCGCGGGGGGGCCGGGCGCAUACUCUGCAGUUACCCCGAGGUCACUUGAUCGAAACAAGUUGCUGCUA